UACGAAGGGGGCGAGCGUUUGUUCGGAAUUACUGGGCGUAAAGGGCGCGUAGGCGGCGACCCAAGUCAGAUGUGAAAGUCCUGGGCUUAACCUGGGGACUGCAUUUGAUACUGGGUUGCUUGAAUUCGGGAGAGGAUAGCGGAAUUCCCAGUGUAGAGGUGAAAUUCGUAGAUAUUGGGAAGAACACCGGUGGCGAAGGCGGCUAUCUGGACCGACAUUGACGCUGAGGCGCGAAACGUGGGGAGCAAACAGG
rnacentral:rRNA from 1 species